rnacentral:rRNA from 1 species
ACGGGAGGCAGCAGUGAGGAAUAUUGGUCAAUGGUCGGAAGACUGAACUAGCCAAGUAGUGUGAAGGAUGACUGCCCUAUGGGUUGUAAACUUCUUUUAUGCGGGAAUAAAAAAGUCCACGUGUGGGCUCUUGCAUGUACCGCAUGAAUAAGGAUCGGCUAAUUCCGUGCCAGCAGCCGCGGUAAUACGGAAGAUCCGAGCGUUAUCCGGAUUUAUUGGGUUUAAAGGGAGCGUAGGCGGGCCUUUAAGUCAGUGGUCAAAGCGUGUGGCUCAACCAUACCACGCCGUUGAUACUGGAGGCCUUGAGUGCACAUAAGGAUGGUGGAAUUCAUGGUGUAGCGGUGAAAUGCUUAGAUAUCAUGAAGAACUCCGAUUGCGAAGGCAGCUGCCCGGGGUGUAACUGACGCUAAUGCUCGAAAGUGCGGGUAUCAAACAGGAUUAGAUACCCUGGUA